AUGGCUGGUGAAGAGUCCCACUGGACUGGGACUCUUCGACCAAGAGUCCUAAUGCUCGGGGACUCUGAGUCCCAUGUGUCUGAGACUCUAUGAUCAAGAAUCAAGAUUCUCUAAUCAUGAAUUUCAUACAUUUUGGGUACCGGGGUCGAGUCUCACUAGUUUGGGACUCUUCGAUCAAGGUUUCAUAUCGUUGGACUUUGAUGCCCGAUUGCCUAUCGG
rnacentral:lncRNA from 1 species